rnacentral:sRNA from 1 species
ACUAGGGCGACGGUCGCACGCCUCCGCGUUACGGGAUGAAUUAACGGCGGGUUUCGCACGGAGGUUGUGACCCCUAGGGAGUCUCAGCUUGCCCACGCACCCCACUCGGCGCCGCGCGGCGUGCCCUGCUUGUCACAGGUGGGAAGCUGGAACUGUCAGGCAUUAUUGGAGACCAUGUUUGGUGUAAAAGUGAUUAUAACUGGGGAUGCAUUUGUUCCUGGAGAAAGAAGUGUCAUUAUCAUGAACCAUCGGACAAGAAUGGACUGGAUGUUCCUGUGGAAUUGUCUGAUGCGAUAUAGCUACCUCAGAUUGGAGAAAAUUUGCCUCAAAGCCAGUCUCAAAGGUGUUCCUGGAUUUGCACAGUCACAUUUGAAACCUAAUGAUACAGGCAUACUACAACAGGAUUGUUGCUGCAAAAAUGUCAUAAAAUUACCUGUCAUCAGAGUUUUUAAAAGCCUUCGUGGAAAUUAAUCAUCUUAGAAGAGGGAUGUGGAGAGCAUUACCCAGUUUGUAAUGUUGGGCCAUGCAGGCUGCUGCCUAUAUCUUCAUUCAUAGGAAAUGGAAGGAUGACAAGAGCCAUUUCGAAGACAUGAUUGAUUACUUUUGUGAUAUUCACGAACCACUUCAACUCCUCAUAUUCCCAGAAGGGACUGAUCUCACAGAAAACAGCAAGUCUCGAAGUAAUGCAUUUGCUGAAAAAAAUGGACUUCAGAAAUAUGAAUAUGUUUUACAUCCAAGAACUACAGGCUUUACUUUUGUGGUAGACCGUCUAAGAGAAGGUAAGAACCUUGAUGCUGUCCAUGAUAUCACUGUGGCGUAUCCUCACAACAUUCCUCAAUCAGAGAAGCACCUCCUCCAAGGAGACUUUCCCAGGGAAAUCCACUUUCACGUCCACCGGUAUCCAAUAGACACCCUCCCCACAUCCAAGGAGGACCUUCAACUCUGGUGCCACAAACGGUGGGAAGAGAAAGAAGAGAGGCUGCGUUCCUUCUAUCAAGGGGAGAAGAAUUUUUAUUUUACCGGACAGAGUGUCAUUCCACCUUGCAAGUCUGAACUCAGGGUCCUUGUGGUCAAAUUGCUUUCCAUACUGUAUUGGACCCUGUUCAGCCCUGCAAUGUGCCUACUCAUAUGUUUGUACAGUCUGGUUAGGUGGUAUUUUAUCAUCGCCAUUGUCAUCUUUGUGCUGCAAGAGAGAAUUUUUGGUGGACUGGAGAUCAUAGAACUUGCAUGUUACCGACUUUUACACAAACAGCCACAUUUAAAUUCAAAGAAAAAUGAGUAAGAUUAUAAGAUUUACCAUGUGAAAACCUAGGGCAUAUUUUGGAAAUGUUCUAAACCUUUCUAAGCUCAGAUGCAUUUUUGCAUGACUAUGUCGAAUAUUUCUUACUGCCAUCAUUUGUUAAAGAUAUUUUGCACUUAAUUUUGUGGGAAAAAUAUUGCUACAGUUUUUUUUUAAUCUCUGAAUGUAAUUUCGAUACUGUGUACAUAGCAGGGAGUGAUCGGGGUGAAAUAACUUGGGCCAGAAUAUUAUUAAACAAUCAUCAGGCUUUUAGUGACAAGGAACACACACAUUUUUCUUAAAGGCCCAAUCCUAACAGACUCCCCAUA